GGCUCAAAUUCUUAACUAGGAAUGUUAUCAUUUAUACGGCUGAAGGACAACCUCCACAGGUGCUUACCAUGAUCCGGCUCGAAGGACCAUGUAGCGGUUGCCCAGAUUUCCCUUAAACUUUGCUUCCUGCAAUAUGAAAUUCCUAACCAGACCAGAAUCUAGCUACGGAAAUGGAAUACGCACAAGUGGUUCGGCAAGGGUUGUCUCGUCUCUACGACUGAUCACGUUGGUAAUGAUUUUUGGGACUGCAAAGAAAAUAACCAAAUAUUGAAAUGCAUUCACCACAUAACUUCUGUCCAGUGCCAACCAAUGCCAAGUCAGCCUCAAGAUUUCAACGAGCAGUAAAUAACGAAGAAAAAAGUU